rnacentral:rRNA from 1 species
GACGAACGCUGGCGGCGUGCCUAAUACAUGCAAGUAGAACGCUGAAGGAGGAGCUUGCUUCUCUGGAUGAGUUGCGAACGGGUGAGUAACGCGUAGGUAACCUGCCUGGUAGCGGGGGAUAACUAUUGGAAACGAUAGCUAAUACCGCAUAAUAGUAGAUGUUGCAUGACAUUUGCCUAAAAGGUGCAAUUGCAUCACUACCAGAUGGACCUGCGUUGUAUUAGCUAGUUGGUGGGGUAACGGCUCACCAAGGCGACGAUACAUAGCCGACCUGAGAGGGGGAUCGGCCACACUGGGACUGAGACACGGCCCAGACUCCUACGGGAGGCAGCAGUAGGGAAUCUUCGGCAAUGGACGGAAGUCUGACCGAGCAACGCCGCGUGAGUGAAGAAGGUUUUCGGAUCGUAAAGCUCGGUUGUAAGAGAAGAACGAGUGUGAGAGUGGAAAGUUCACACUGUGACGGUAUCUUACCAGAAAGGGACGGCUAACUACGUG